rnacentral:rRNA from 1 species
GACGAACGCUGGCGGCGUGCUUAACACAUGCAAGUCGAACGGAAAGGCCUCUUUCGGGGGGUACUCGAGUGGCGAACGGGUGAGUAACACGUGAGUAACCUGCCCUUGACUUUGGGGUAACUUCAGGAAACUGGGGCUAAUACCGGAUAGGAGCUCCUGCUGCAUGGUGGGGGUUGGAAAGUUUCGGCGGUUGGGGAUGGACUCGCGGCUUAUCAGCUUGUUGGUGGGGUAGUGGCUUACCAAGGCUUUGACGGGUAGCCGACCUGAGAGGGUGACCGGCCACAUUGGGACUGAGAUACGGCCCAGACUCCUACGGGAGGCAGCAGUGGGGAAUAUUGCACAAUGGGUGGAAGCCUGAUGCAGCAACGCCGUGUGCGGGAGGACGGCCUUCGGGUUGUAAACCGCUUUCGCUCAUGACGAAGCUUUGUGUGACGGUAGUGGGUAAAGAAGCACCGGCUAACUACGUG